AGAGUUUGAUCCUGGCUCAGGACGAACGCUGGCGGCGCGCCUCAUACAUGCAAGUCGAGCGAGAAACUCGGAGCUUGCUCCGGGUGGACAGCGGCGAACGGGUGAGGAACACGUGAGGAACCUGCCCCGAAGACCGGGAUAACACCGGGAAACCGGUGCUAAUACCGGAUGCCCUCAUCGGAUCACAUGAACCGAUGAGG
rnacentral:rRNA from 1 species